AUGGCCGCGCCGCCGCCCAAGCAGGAGGAGCUGCAGCCGCACGCCGUCCGGGACCAGCUGCCGGCCGUCUCCUACUGCCUUACCAGCCCGCCCCCAUGGCCGGAGGCCAUCCUGCUGGGCUUCCAGCACUACCUCGUCAUGCUCGGCACCACCGUCAUCAUCCCCACCGCGCUCGUCCCGCAGAUGGGCGGCGGCAACGAGGAGAAGGCGCGGGUGGUGCAGACGCUGCUCUUCGUCGCCGGGAUCAACACGCUGCUGCAGAGCUUCCUUGGCACGCGCCUCCCCGCCGUCAUCGGGGGCUCCUACACCUUCGUCGCGCCCACCAUCUCCAUCGUCCUCGCCGCCCGCUACAGCGGCAUCGCCGACCCGCACGAGAAGUUCCUCCGCACCAUGCGCGGCACGCAGGGCGCGCUCAUCGUCGCCUCCACGCUCCAGAUCAUCAUGGGCUUCAGCGGCCUCUGGCGCAUUGUCGUCAGGCUGCUGAGCCCGCUGUCGGCGGCGCCCCUCGUCGCGCUCGUCGGGUUCGGCCUCUACGAGCUUGGAUUCCCAAGUGUUGCGAAAUGCAUCGAGAUCGGUCUUCCAGAGAUCAUACUGCUGGUGGCUCUUUCCCAGUACGUACCUCAUCUGGUGCCUUUGCUGGGGACUGCAUUCGAGCGGUUCGCCGUCAUAAUGUCGGUGGCCAUCGUGUGGCUUUACGCCUUCUUCCUCACCGUCGGUGGGGCGUACAAGAAUGCUGCUCCAAAAACCCAAUUCCACUGCCGCACUGAUCGAUCUGGCCUAGUUGGGGGUGCUCCCUGGAUAACUGUGCCAUACCCAUUCCAGUGGGGAGCACCGACUUUUGAUGCUGGUGAAUGCUUUGCCAUGAUGGCAGCUGCUUUUGUUGCUCUUGUGGAGUCUACUGGUGCUUUCAUUGCGGUUUCACGGUACGCCAGUGCAACGCCAUGCCCUCCUUCUGUUAUGAGUCGCGGCAUCGGUUGGCAGGGGGUUGGCAUUUUGCUGGCCGGCUUAUUUGGAACGGCUAAUGGGUGCUCUGUAUCUGUGGAAAAUGCUGGGCUGCUAGGUUUGACACGUGUUGGCAGCCGGCGUGUGGUGCAGAUUUCCGCUGGGUUUAUGCUAUUCUUCUCUAUUCUCGGGAAAUUUGGAGCUGUUUUCGCAUCAAUUCCGGGCCCAAUAAUCGCAGCCAUAUACUGUCUUCUCUUUGCAUAUGUUGGUAUGGCAGGGGUCGGGUUCCUUCAGUUUUGCAACCUCAACAGCUUCCGAACAAAAUUCAUCCUGGGAUUCUCCUUGUUCAUGGGUAUAUCGGUUCCACAGUAUUUCAAUGAGUACACCUCUGUUGCAGGCUUUGGCCCGGUACACACGCACGCAAGAUGGUUCAACGACAUGAUCAACGUGGUGUUCUCGUCGAAAGCGUUUGUCGGAGGCGCCACCGCCCUUCUCCUGGACAGCACCCUGCACAGGCACGACAGCACCGCCAGGAAGGACCGGGGCCACCAUUUCUGGGACAGGUUCAGGUCUUUCAAGACAGACCCGAGAAGCGAGGAGUUCUACUCCCUGCCCUUCAACCUCAACAAGUUCUUCCCGUCCUUCUGA
rnacentral:rRNA from 1 species